rnacentral:rRNA from 1 species
GACGAACGCUGGCGGCGCGCCUAACACAUGCAAGUCGAACGGAGCUGAGAGAAGCUUGCUUUUCUUAGCUUAGUGGCGAACGGGUGAGUAACGCGUGAGUAACCUGCCCUGGAGUGGGGGACAACAGUUGGAAACGACUGCUAAUACCGCAUAAGCCCACGAUCCGGCAUCGGAUUGAGGGAAAAGGAUUUAUUCGCUUCAGGAUGGACUCGCGUCCAAUCAGCUAGUUGGUGAGGUAACGGCCCACCAAGGCGACGAUUGGUAGCCGGACUGAGAGGUUGAACGGCCACAUUGGGACUGAGACACGGCCCAGACUCCUACGGGAGGCAGCAGUGGGGGAUAUUGCACAAUGGGGGAAACCCUGAUGCAGCGACGCCGCGUGGAGGAAGAAGGUUUUCGGAUUGUAAACUCCUGUCGUUAGGGACGAUAAUGACGGUACCUAACAAGAAAGCACCGGCUAACUACGUG